rfam:Penicillium coprophilum strain IBT 31321 PENCOP_contig040, whole genome shotgun sequence.
AUGGGUAUGCUGAAAUUGGUAAACAGGUUCCGCUUAGGACGGGAUAGUUUUAUACUUUGCAAGUUCAAGUCUUGUUACCCAUA